rnacentral:rRNA from 1 species
UACGUAGGGUGCAAGCGUUAAUCAGAAUUACUGGGCGUAAAGCGUGCGCAGGCGGUUCUAUAAGACAGAUGUGAAAUCCCCGGGCUCAACCUGGGAACUGCAUUUGUGACUGUAGAGCUGGAGUACGGCAGAGGGGGAUGGAAUUCCGCGUGUAGCAGUGAAAUGCGUAGAUAUGCGGAGGAACACCGAUAGCGAAGGCAAUCCCCUGGGCCUGUACUGACGCUCAUGCACGAAAGCGUGGGGAGCAAACAGG